rnacentral:rRNA from 1 species
ACGGAGGGAGCUAGCGUUGUUCGGAAUUACUGGGCGUAAAGCGCGCGUAGGCGGCGAACCAAGUCAGAGGUGAAAUCCCGGGGCUCAACCCUGGAACUGCCUUUGAAACUGGUUUGCUAGAAUCUUGGAGAGGCGAGUGGAAUUCCGAGUGUAGAGGUGAAAUUCGUAGAUAUUCGGAAGAACACCAGUGGCGAAGGCGACUCGCUGGACAAGUAUUGACGCUGAGGUGCGAAAGCGUGGGGAGCAAACAGG